rnacentral:rRNA from 1 species
UGAUACGUCUCAACGUAUCUAUAAUUUUUGAUUGCUCCAUGCUAUAUUAUCUACUGUUCUAGACUAUAUUGGGCUUUAUUUUCCACUUUUAUAUUAUUUUUGGGACUAACCUAUUAACCGGAGGCCCAGCCCAGAAUUGCUGUUUUUUGCCUAUUUCAGUGUUUCGGAGAAACAGAAUAUCAAACGGAGUCCAAACAGAAUAAAA